CGCAUCCGAUGAUUAAUUGAAUUACAAGCCUAAAAGAAAUGGACUUUGGCUGUAGCGUGAGACAUAAAUAGCCAUCGGAAUUAGAUAAUUGGAUAAUAGAGCUAUAUUUGCAAAUCUUCUUAUUUAUGAACUUUUGGUCUUCGUUUGUCCUUUUACCUGUAAGGCACGGAUACGUUGAAGAUCCGAACGUUCUCGCCGACAUUUAAAAAACAUUUAUUUUCUUUCUCUCUUUCUACCAAUUCAAUAGGAUUACACGUGAUGUACAGCAAAACGCACGGUCCACUUGGGCCAUUGUGGGUUGUCUCACGACGAUUCACACCGCUGUGCUGCUGAAUGCUCUAAUAACGUUUGCGUGUGUUUACCACGUGCCCAGCAAGGAGGGUUGUGAGACAGUCCUAACCGAAUAGACGUCAAAGGAGGUUCUCUGCCACGAGGAAAAAGCACUUCCAAAUGAAAGACGUUUCUUGUGUUUUGAAUGCUGGGCAAAGUUUAUUUGGGCGAUUCCAAGACGGCCAAAGGAAAGAACAAUCAACUCGAACGCAACAGAUGUGAUGCGUCUGAACACAAUUCUUCCAUUUCACGUCCCCAAGGCAAUUAGCAGCCGUAUCACAAUUGAGAACGUUCACUCAAUUGUGUCGGACACAUAGGUGGCAGUCGAGAUCAAGGUGAGUUGCUUUCUGAAAAUCAGUUUAUCCCUACGGCCGUUAAUCCGCAUGCGAUUAAGUAUAAAAGAGAAAUUUCGGGUCAGUGUUUGACAGCGAUUUAGCUGAAAACAAUACCUUAAAAGAUUGUAGAACGAUUCGUAUAAGGCUAUUAAUUCCCUGU